UCCUUCUUAGCUCAGUUGGUAGAGCGCGUCACUAGUAUAUAUCUUAUAUGGUAUGACGAGGUCAGUCGUUCAAGUCGGCUAGAAGGAA